AAAGAUCUAUGUUUAUUUUAAUUUCUAUAUCAUAGUACUAAAUGAAUGCUAAGAUAAAAAAUCACGAAAAGGAAAGCUAAAAUCGUUUAUUCCGCCAAUACUUAGCGAAAAAUUUCACUUAAACCGCCAUGUAUCCUAGAUCUAAAAUUUUUUAAGUCCCACAUCCCAUUGACAACAACACAAAAAAACUUUCACUUUUCCAUAGAGAGAAAGAACAAAAAAAAAAUCCUCCUAAAUCAAACCUAGGUCCUCGGUCUCAUGAGAGCACAAAUCAAUCUUUCCUCUCGAUCCAUCUACAUCACCAUGUGGAUAAGAAGCGUCUCCUCUCAUCUCAAAACCCUAGCCGCCGGUGUCGUCGCUGCUUCUCCUUGUCUCCUCUCAUCUCAAAACACUUUUUUCCCCCUUUUCUUUUCUUCUGAGUUUUGAUAAGAGAGAGAGAGAGAGUCACUAUAAAGGUAAAGUAUAUCAUCAUCCUUACUCCCUCACUUCCAUUGUUUCUUCGUUUCAUUUUCUUUCCUUAUUUCUUCGCUUGACUAGAGAAAUGUGUUCGAUUCCUCUUAUUGGUACAAAAAAUCUGAAGUUUUCUUGUUUUAUUAAGAAAAUAUUGAACCUUACGUUUUUGGGUAAGCUAAUCACUCUACCAAGUUAUCAAAUUCCUCUUAUUGGUACGUGCUCUGUGAUCUCUAUUUAGUUACACUAUCAAAUUUAUUUACAAACAAUUGGCAGGCUAGAGUUUUAUUUCUCUUCUUUGUUCUGAUCCACAAUUGUCCUUCUUCUCUCAGAUUUUUGUUUCCUGGGUUUUGUCUGGGAGGAAUCAGUCGGCGAAUCUACAUUACUCUCUCUGUCUCUCUCUCUGGCAUUGUUGCUGCUGGGUUUAAACUUUUUCUCAAAAUCGAAACUUUAUCGGGAUUUGAUUGACAACUAAACCCUAACAAUUGGUUUGUGGAAGGAUGGAAUAAAGAUUGUAGGAUUUUAUUGACUCUUAGCUUUGUUGUUUUUUUCCCAAAUUUAGGAGCUUUGGUGUGUACUGUCAUCUUUCCUAAAUAUGCUAUACAUAUUUUCUCAACCUUUUUUCUUAGAGUUAUACUCAUAUUGCUUGUGUUUUUCAAAAGGAGGAGAAGGAGAUUGAAAUUGAAGAUGCAUAUAAAGAAGAAGAGUGUGUGAGCGAUAUUGACCUCUGUGAUGGGAAGAAUCCUUUAGCCGUGGUUGAAUAUGUCAAUGAUAUGCAUACUUUCUACAGGAAAUCUGAGGUUUUUGCAUUGAGAGAUGGAUGAUAGUGAAGGACGAGCCCAUCUGAGUUUAUUGCUCUACUAAGUACUUAGUUUACUAGUGGUUAGUGUCCCUCAUGACUAGCUAUUCCCGAGAUACAAGGUUGUGGUACAAUCGUUAGUUAAGGCAAUGAAGGACGAGGAUGGUGUGGCUAGAGCCGCGAAAAUCUGGUUGUUGGUGUUACGAGUUCAAAGAUCUAGUUGGUGGCACUUAGAAUGUUUGUUUUAUUUUGUUUCAAUACUUGGCUGCACUUAAGAUAUUAGUAUAAAACUUGGUAUGGUCUUAUGUAUGACAUUGUUUUGGUUAAAAUAUUUAUAUUAUAUAUA